AUUGAACGCUGGCGGCAGGCCUAACACAUGCAAGUCGAACGAGUGGCGGACGGGUGAGUAAUGUCUGGGAAACCGACUGAUGGAGGGGGAUAACCACUGGAAACGGUAGCUAAUACCGCAUACCAUCAGAUGUGCCCAGAUGGGAUGAGCUUGUUUGUGGGGUAACGGCUCACCACGGCGUCGAUCCCUAGCUGGUCUGAGAGGAGGACCAGCCACACUGGAACUGAGACACGGUCCAGACUCCUACGGGAGGCAGCAGUGGGGAAUAUUGCACAAUGGGCGCAAGCCUGAUGCAGCCAUGCCGCGUGUGUGAAGAAGGCCUUCGGGUUGUAAAGUACUUUCAGCGGGGAGGCGUUACCCGCAGAAGAAGCACCGGCUAACUCCGUGCCAGCAGCCGCGGUAAUUC
rnacentral:rRNA from 1 species